rnacentral:rRNA from 1 species
UACGGAAGGGGCAAGCGUUGUUCGGAAUCAUUGGGCGUAAAGGGCGCGCAGGCGGCUCUGUAUGUCUGCCGUGAAAGCAUACAGCUCAACUGCAUUGUGUCGGUAGAAACUGCAGGACUUGAGGCUGGGAGGGGCUGGUGGAAUUCCCUGUGUAGCGGUGAAAUGCGUAGAGAUGGGGGAGAACACUCGUGGCGAAGGCGGCCAGCUGGACCAGUUCUGACGCUGAGGCGCGACAGCGUGGGGAGCGAACAGG